rnacentral:rRNA from 1 species
UCCAGACUCCUACGGGAGGCAGCAGUGGGGGAUAUUGCACAAUGGGGGGAACCCUGAUGCAGCGACGCCGCGUGGGUGAAGGAGCGUUUCGGCGCGUAAAGCCCUCUCGGCAGGGAAGAAGGAGGACGGUACCUGACUAAGAAGCCCCGGCUAACUACGUGCCAGCAGCCGCGGUAAUACGGAGGGGGCAAGCGAUAUCCGGAUUUACUGGGUGUAAAGGGGGCGCAGACGGCAGCGCAAGCCAGGAGUGAAAGCCCGGGGCCCAACCCCGGGACUGCUCUUGGAACUGCGCGGCUGGAGUGCAGGAGGGGCAGGCGGAAUUCCUGGUGUAGCGGUGAAAUGCGUAGAUAUCAGGAGGAACACCGGUGGCGAAGGCGGCCUGCUGGACUGCGACUGACGUUGAGGCCCGAAAGCGUGGGGAGCAAACAGGAUUAGAUACCCGCGUA